rnacentral:rRNA from 1 species
AUUGAACGCUGGCGGCAUGCCUUACACAUGCAAGUCGAACGGCAGCACGGCAGUAGCAAUACUGUGGGUGGCGAGUGGCGGACGGGUGAGGAAUACGUCGGAAUCUGCCCAGUCGUGGGGGAUAACUAGCCGAAAGGUUAGCUAAUACCGCAUACGACCGAGAGGUGAAAGCGGGGGGACCGCAAGGCCUCGCGCGAUUGGAUGAGCCGACGUCGGAUUAGCUAGUUGGAGGGGUAAAGGCCCACCAAGGCGACGAUCCGUAGCUGGUCUGAGAGGAUGAUCAGCCACACUGGAACUGAGACACGGUCCAGACUCCUACGGGAGGCAGCAGUGGGGAAUAUUGGACAAUGGGCGCAAGCCUGAUCCAGCAAUGCCGCGUGUGUGAAG